rnacentral:rRNA from 1 species
AGCAGCCGCGGUAAUUCCAGCUCCAAUAGCGUAUAUUAAAGUUGUUGCAGUUAAAAAGCUCGUAGUUGAAUUUCGGGAUCAGUAGGUUGGUCGUGCCACUGGUAUGUACUGGCCUUACUGGUUCCUCCUUCUUGUAGAACUGCAAUGUCAUUAAUUUGGUGUUGCAGGGAAACAGGACUGUUACUUUGAAAAAAUUAGAGUGUUUAAAGCAGGCUAACGCUUGAAUACAUUAGCAUGGAAUAAUGAAAUAGGACGUUCGAUCCUAUUUUGUUGGUUUCUAGGAUUGACGUAAUGAUUAAUAGGGAUAGUUGGGGGCAUUAGUAUUCAAUUGUCAGAGGUGAAAUUCUUGGAUUUAUUGAAGACUAACUACUGCGAAAGCAUUUGCCAAGGAUGUUUUCAUUAAUCAAGAACGAAAGUUAGGGGAUCGAAGACGAUCAGAUACCGUCGUAGUCUUAACCAUAAACUAUGCCGACUAGGGAUCGGAUGACGCUAAUUUUUAAUGACUCAUUCGGCGUCCG